GCACUUUUUUUUUUUUUUUCCAAGAGGUAAAGUACAAUUCAAUUCAAGAAGCCAGGGACUCUCGUAAAGUCCUAAACAGUUUCUGACAAUAGAUAAUCAAAAGAGAGGGAUGGUUGGAAUGCUCAUAAGAACAAUCAGAUACAUGACACCGAUAGCUCUGCUAAAAUAAUAAAGUUUGUUAAUGAAAAUUUUCCCUAUAUAGCUCAUCAAACCAUGGAAAGGAGAUAGUGCAAAUGAUCCUGGUUUAAAAGACCAUUGUUCAAACUAGAAACCUGAACCAGCCAACUUGAGGAAGCAAAUUUACACGUUUUGAAAAGCAUAUAUAACAAAACUAUAAUCAGAGAAGAUUAAAUAAUUCAGUAUAAAUAUAACCAAGGGUUCCAGAUGCCACAAAAAUGGAAAAUUCAUUCUGGGUAUGCUACGAUUCGGCUAAUUAAUCGACGAAGGGUUUGUAUUCUAGUUCGAGAGGCCUCAAUUCAGAAUCUUUACCUCUCUACUGGGACCUUUGCUCAUAAAAUUAUUACAUUUCAAAACAAAACCUUUUACUUGUGUGAAAUUGGUUCUAAGAACUCAAUCAUUUCAAUGAGAUCACAGUUCACAAGAUCCUCCAUCGACACCAGUAUUCAAAGGUAAACUUGGAUAAGAGUGCAUUUCUCAUACCACUCCCUCCAUAGGUCCCUUCGUUCCCUAUCUAAUUGAAAUUUUUUCCACAGAAAAGAAGAAGAUGCACAGUGAAUAUGAACCAGAACAAGAGACUCAUCUUGCGGUAUGGUUAUGAAACCAAAACAAGAGCUCAGCGAUAUGGCACAGCGAAUCGUUAAGUUGUAUGCGGCGAAAUAGAGACUGAGCCUAAACAAAGAGAGAGUGAAGUUGUAUGCGGCAAACCAUCUUCCGUGUCGUAAGGUCUUUUUUUCUGUCGCUCUUUCGCGGUGUUAAACCUUGUUUAGAGUUCUGUAAUUUAGAGAGGGAAAAGAGAGCUGCUUUUGUGU
rnacentral:misc_RNA from 1 species